ACGCCAUUUUCUGUCAACAAUUCUCUGGCUGGAUCUGCUAAAGAUUGCUUAUUAUAAGUAAAAUAUUGUGAUUAGAAGUUUAAUUAUUUGUAAUAUAUCUUCUAUUGUAAUCGCUUAAACUUGAUCAACAAUAAAAAAUGUGCGCGACCGUCGAACUAUUACAGAAUGUGUAUUAUAUUGUAGGAAGGAGCCAGACUUGUUUACUUGAGUUUUCAAGUUGAUUUAAUGCUUGGAAUAUCGGCUACAACCGUUUGAUUUGAUAUGGAAUAACUUGGAGAUGUUGGGUGGAUCAAUACCUGAUUAUAUUCUGAAAUUGAGCUUCAACUAUGGAAUUUAACUCUACACAUCCAACAUCCAAGGCUUGGAAUAUUGUUUACACAAAACCUCUUGUUUGGACAUUGAACUUGGAACAUGGAAAAUGUUGUCAAUGGAUUCCACUGGAAUAUUCAAUGAAAUAGAUGUAUCCUCCUACAACAUGCCAGGUAAUUCUCAAUUUAUCGCAAUGUUUGUGGCUUCAUUUCCACACAUAUCUUGUAUUAUCUUUUCAAUCUUCAAUUUGGUUCUUAUUUUAAAACUAUCUAGAUUUAAGGAAAAGGCAAAUCAAAGGUUUGGGUCGAAGAGAAAGGCGGGCUGUGAUCUAUAACAUUUAUCUCAUAUUUGUUUUUAAAAAUUGCAUAUAAAUAGUAGAAUCAUCUCAAAUUUGAUGAGAAAAAUGUAUGGAUCUUAGUUUCAGGACAAAUCUCUCCAUGUACUUUGAUGUGCCUCUAGCUUGUAAGUUAUCUUAUAGUGUUACUACCCAUUGAUAUAGGGCCUCCAAUCCCCGUAUUCAAUUGUAGGAAGGUUGUUAUUAUGUCAGAAUUUAGCAAAAUAUAUUGUUUUGUGAGGUGGGAUAUUUUUAGAUCCAUAUUGAGAAUACAAAGAUGAGAAGAAUGUAUGGAUCUCAGCUCUGAAAAAAAUACAUAUUAUACUCUGAAAUGACUCCAGCUUAGAGUUAUAUAUAUACUAGUUUUUGAAAUUCCCCCUUAUUAUAGGAGUGAAAAAUCAAUUUUUAAAGACUAGAUUUA